UUCCUGGAGGACUAGUGGUUAGGCCAUGGCACAAUCACCGCCACGGCCUGGGUUCAAAUCUCAGCCAGGGAA